rnacentral:lncRNA from 1 species
CAGCUUGAUGCUGAGGAGAAGAGCUGUGCAGCAGACACUGUUUAGUUGUUUCAUUCUACUGCAGUGGAAGAACACUGUUCAUCUGCUGUCUGACUUCAACAACUCCAAAGACAUGUUGCUUUACUUCUUUCUCUUUUUAUCUCACUUUAUAGGACUAACAGCUGGAGACACAAUCUCUCCUGUAGAAGAUGAAGUCACUGGAAGAGAAGGAGAAUCUGUCAAACUCACAUGUCGCUAUCAAACAGAUAGAACUAAUAUUUAUCUUUUCUGGUACAAACAUCAUUCAGACCUGGAAGCUCCUCAAUUUAUACUCAGGAAAGGAGCAAAAUCAUGGAGUGAUAGACAAUAUAUUCCUGAUAAUCGAUAUGAAUCCCAAACAUCAGAUGCAUCAACUGAACUGACCAUAAAGAGUCUAACCCUGGCAGACACAGCUCUCUACUACUGUGCUCUAGAAACACAGUGAUACAAAGUGUAGAAGAGUCUGUACAAAAACCUGAACACUGAUAUCUGACUACUCUUCAAAGAGGAGGGAAGUGG